GAACGCUGGCGGCAUGCUUUACACAUGCAAGUCGAACGGCAGCGGGGUAGUGCUUGCACUACUGUCCGGCGAGUGGCGAACGGGUGAGUAAUAUAUCGGAACGUACCGAGUAAUGGGGGAUAACCAAUCGAAAGAUUGGCUAAUACCGCAUACGUCCUACGGGAGAAAGCGGGGGAUCGCAAGACCUCGCGUUAUUCGAGCGGCCGAUAACUGAUUAGCUAGUUGGUGGGGUAAAGGCCUACCAAGGCGACGAUCAGUAGCGGGUCUGAGAGGACGAUCCGCCACACUGGGACUGAGACACGGCCCAGACUCCUACGGGAGGCAGCAGUGGGGAAUUUUGGACAAUGGGGGCAACCCUGAUCCAGCCAUGCCGCGUGUAUGAAGAAGGCCUUCGGGUUGUAAAGUACUUUUGUUAGGGAAGAAAAGGGAAGUGCUAAUACCACUUUUUGCUGACGGUACCUAAAGAAUAAGCACCGGCUAACUACGUGCCAGCAGCCGCGGUAAUACGUAGGGUGCGAGCGUUAAUCGGAAUUACUGGGCGUAAAGCGAGCGCAGACGGUUAUUUAAGCAGGAUGUGAAAUCCCCGGGC
rnacentral:rRNA from 1 species